CUAAAGCAGCAAUGAAUAAAAGACACAUAGCCGAUUCACAGAUAUUCACGACACCCUAAGAACAGAAAGACCUGGACGUACACACCUUUUUCUCUGGAAUGAAGCCUCGUGUAAAGCAUAAUUGCAUUAUUUACUGACAAAUCUUCUCCCUCUAGAACACUCUACAUUGGGCUUGAGAGAGCCAAAGCCCACCAUCAGGCUUACUGCUAUGUGGUGCCUUUGGACAACAGGACAAUAGGAGGGCCUGAGUGGGCAGACACACAUGGCCCCUCUGGGCUUGUGGUACCCAACAAGCGGGGGGAGCGAAGCACGAAUGUCAGCCGCUAUCUUGUUGCUUUAAUCGAUUGACCUGUAAUGCUGAAGGCCGUGGAGGUCAGCUUGCUGUUACCGCCCUCUUAUUACUCAUUUCCCAAAGCAGGGCAGAGCUGCAGCCAGGCAAGGAAGCAGGUACAGUGUGAACUGUUAGAUAGAACAUCUUGUCCUGUUUUAUGCCCAAAGGUACUACACUUUCGGAAAUCUCCUUAAUUCUGAAUGCUAUCACUGCCAUUUCAAAAGGGGGUGAGAGGAUGCAUUUCCUUUUCACCCAUUUUAAUGCUACUUCUUUAGAAGCUUAUUCCUGGGAGGCAUUCCUAUAAUGCCCUGAACUUUCUGAUUUAUCUCCUAAUGAAAAUCAGCACUUUCUGAGCUGGUCCACGACGGGUCGUGAAGUUGGGAGUUUGCCCCAGGAGGGAAGUGCCACUGAAAAUCUUAAUGUUCAGCUCCUCCUGUCAUCUGUAAAACAGCUCUGCUCGCGGAUCCUCCUGGCCCUUUCUCCGGUGAGGAUGGAGCCUUGCUCACAUUCCAGGGCCCCAAACAGUUUCUUUCUUCUUGCUGAGUUAAUGAUACUUUGAAGAAAGCUUAAGGUUAUUGAAGUUAUUGAACCGGGGAAAGUGUGUGAACUGGGGAAAGGUCAGGUGUGAUCGGGGAACAUCUUCCCAUAGAAGUCAAGGAGGAUGAAAGGUGUCAGCUGCUCAUCUCCUUUUCUGCACAGAACCGCUCAGCCGUCAUCCCACCGAGGCAAGCAGUGUGCAGGGCGGGCCUGCCUCCUGAGACGUCAGCCCAUGUGCUGCUUCCUACUACAAAGUAGUCGCCAAGCUCAGAGGUUAAGGUGAACGGUGACCAGGAAAUCCAGCCUAAGCCUCCUUUCUGAUGGGGAUGCCAAAGACAUCCGCUUGUAAGGAAAACCGAGCCCUUGGUUUUCUGAAAAGCUGGCGGGAAUUGUCAGGCCCACGAAGCAGGGAGACACUGGUGUGAACAGAGGUAUCAUACAGGUUCAACCCUCCGCUUGGCUUUUGGUCGAAGGCCGGUGAGCGGAGGCUGUGGCAAGGGGGAGGCUGUCGGACGCCCAGUGAUCUGGAGACAUGCAGACCUCCGAGGCUCGGGGGGAGGUUGCAGAGCGGCACCACUGCCAGCCGUCUGAGAAGGGCCACAGUCACACUCCGGGCCCGCUAUGGAAUGUUCUUCAUUCAUGCCUGUAACGUGGGCACUGGUGCUGUGGCAGCUACUGGAAUAGGAGCCCAGGAAGCAGAGACGGAAGAUGCAAAUUUGUAGGUGAAGCAGAUGAAUGAAGCCAAAAAUCCAUCGCAUGUGGUGAAGAACAUUUUAUCCAAACCAUCACUUGCAUUUGGACACAGGAAUCAACACAAAACAAGCCUGAGCUCUCACAGCCCACCGGCUCUUCGAUGUGCCGCGGGAACAUUUGCUGAAGGCCCUCAGCCUGUCCCCUCUGGCCUGUCCCCAGGAUGGCUCACAACUGUUUGCAAUGAACGUGACAUUUAUUCGUCUUGGCUAUGAGCAGAGUCAGAACAAGAAAGACAAGAGGUUUUUCAUAAAAGAAUGAACAAACCCCUUCACCGACAAAACAACGAACCCGGCCAUACCCACUCAGAGAAAAUUACACACUGCUAAUAAAGUGGACUAGGAUCGAGCAUGAAAAAUUACAACAUGAAUGAUGUUGGAUGAAUGAUAAUGAAAGAAAAAUGGUGAAUAAUUAGGCAGCAGCGUUUCUGGGAAAACACGCCUCGCACUUCAGUAUCAUUUCCCAUCGGCCGAACAUUCACGUCUAAUUAGAAGGGAGCAACUUGUUCCAACCAGGGUUUCAUUCUUAUCAAUUCCUCUGAAAGUCUCCAGUUUUGUAAAAUGUAAACAGAAGUAACAGAGGCUGGCCACUCACGGAGGAGAGCACUUUAGGAAUGUGAGGGCGGAAAAUGCAACAAGGAGCAAGAUUUGUGGUGGUGUUGUCUGGUUCACGCUUUAAAAAAGUUCUGGGCGAGGACUGCUGGGUGCAGGGGGCUGCUACACGACCACCUCAGUCGCAGAGUACUCUGGAGGGCAACGGGGGGAUGCUGCAGGCGUCCAAGGUGGGGAAGCGGCCUGGUUCCCAAGCACAGGACUCUCAGCCACCCAGGGGUCCUCAAACUCUCAAAGCCUCCUGGGACAAAAUGAGUUUCAAAUCACUUGAUUUAAAGGCUGUCAUUGGCUUGCCUAGAUAUCCGAGACUUGGUCCCUGCAAAGCUCCCCAGAAGUCAGGGCCCGUGGGGAGAGUUCUCAACCCUUCCCGAGACCAGGGAGGUGGGAAAGGACGGGCCAUGGGGAAACAUCUUCUCUGUAACUUCUUGCAAGCCUGUCUGGGUCAGCUUCCUCCAGGAGCCGUCCCAGCUCUAGCUUCCAAGUGCAGACUUGAACCAACGUGGCUUUGUGGAGCCUCGGAGUCUCUGAGAACACUCAGCAAAGAGCCUCUUGUUGAAUUUAGCAAAGCCUUCAAGCACCGGAGAGACUGCCUCUGGCCCUGACGUCUGGGUUCCUGUUGGAGGGCCUACCACCCCAAGGAGUGUUGGUAACGACAGCUACCCCAGCUGACAGGUACUGAGCCUCAGCACCUGCCGGGUGUGUUCUGUUUCUCAGUGCCUUCCACUCCAUCCUCCCCUGAGGCAGGGGCUUGCACUGUGCAGAUGGGAAACCGAGGCUCAGAUUGCUGAACAGCUAGCCCACAGUUGUGCAGCUGGUUAACAGUGAGGCCAGACCCAGACCUAAGCCCACAGGGCCUCCUCGGCUGCCCUGGGCUGUGUAGGGGGAGGGAACAGCUGCUUGCAAUUGUCCACCUGAACUGAAGGUUCCUAGUGUCUGAGGACAAUUGAAGUUUCAGGCAAACUUUUAUUUGUUUUAAAGUGGCAGUGUUUGCCAGUGAUGCCUAAAAUUUAAAAACACAUAAAUUAGAACAGAUUCCAGCUUUUAUCUAUAAUAUUGUCAGUCUCACUCUAGUUGGUUUCAGGAGAAAGGGAGAGAAACAGGGAAGGAGUAGCCGCAGCUGGUGGGCUCCAAGUUACACCUGCAAGAAAGAAUGCCUUGCGGGUCUUGACAGAAGAAGGUUGAGAAAUCUCUGCCAGGAAGUGGCGGGGUUCCAUCUUCUUUAUUUCAUCACAACCUGGGCAUGGGAGUGAAAUCUUAAAGAUCAGAAAACCUGGGCAGAUAUGUGACUAUUGUGUGGGUAGGAUGUCCUCCAGAAAGUUGUGUUCAAGUCCCAGCCUGGGGUACCUAUGGAUGUGACUUUACUUGGACAUAGGAUUUUUACAGAUAUAAUCAAAGUAAGAUGAGGUCAUAUAGGUGGGCCUAGUCCAAUGACUGAUGCCGUUAUAAGAAGAGGGAAACUUGGACACACACACAGAGAAGAUACAGAGACAAUGCCAUGUGCUGAUGGGGCAGAAGUUGGAGCGAUGCAUCUGCAAGCCACGGAGUGCCAAGGAGUGCUGGCAACCAUCGAAGCUGCCAGGCAAGGAAGGAUCCUGCCCCAGAGUCUCAGAGGGGGUGUGACACUGCCCACGCCUUGAUUUUGGGCUUCCAGCCACCAAAACUGUGAGAAAAUAAGUUUCUAUUGUUUUAAGCCACCUGGUUUAUAGUAAUUUGUCAUGGCAGCCAUGGACCUGAACGCACCAAGUAUUCACCCGGCUCCUGCCGUGUGACUUACACAAUUCUGUGUCAGUUCUGCCGGGAUGUGGGAUGCUGUGCGCAUCUGGCUCAUAAGCGGUUUAUUCUUUGCUGCUAGCAAAGGAGAGCAAGGGUGGGAGCUGGGAGGCCCUUCAGGGGCAAGAGGGUCUUGCCGAGGAGGAGGCAGGCGGAUGGCACUGCUGGCGGAGGGCGGCAAGAAGGCCGGCGGCCUGGCCCCAGGAGUGACUGGGUGCGCAGGGCCCUCCUGGUGCUGGCGCCCGACGCCAGCUGGAAAGAGGAAUUGAUAUUGGGCGCCACGCAUGAUGGGGAGCUCUGAAAGAAUCAGAGCAGGCGCGGACGAGAGCAGGGUGAGGACGUUUAAAAUAUUUGGGCUUCAUUCAGAAGUCCACGGGGGUGAAGGGGACGCCCUCCAGUUUCACAGCAGAGUUGCAGACAAAGGAAGAAUGUGCAGUUUCUUCAGCCCCGGGCUGCUCAAGACUGCAGGGGAGAGGGAAGGGCAGCAGUGCGCGGGGGGCGGGGCGGGCCUGCAGGCUGCCGCCCUGGGAAGGGCAGCAGCGCUGGAGGAUGCUAGAAGAGGCCUGAGGCUGGCAGAGGGAGCCACCUGGACUGACUGAGACGAGGAGCGCGGUCUGUCAUUGCCAUGGUCUUCGCGGGUCUGGCCGACUGCAUGAGACGUACACGCUUGUCCACUCCUGGGGGCCUGCCAGAACACUUCAGCCCCCAGGAGGGGCCUGUGGAGACCUAGGAGCCAGCCCUCACUGCCAUUCCCAGCGCUCCUGAUCGCCCAGGGAACACAGGGGCUCAGUAAGAGGGCGCUAUGACGGACGGCAGCCGCGCUCCGGCUCGGAAGGAAGGCCAGGCGCCAGGAGAGAGAGACACCUUUCAUUCCCGAAACCGGAAGUGACAUUGGCAUGCAAAUAUUAGGCCUGGACCUCCAGGGCCCUGCCUCGGAUGUGCCCUUCCCGAUCUCCUCCAGCUGGAAGCCAUCUGCCCUGGAACUCCCUCGGCGCGUUAUCUGCUCCUCUGAGCACGCACUGCUGUCUGCCUUCGGAGAGUUAUGAGUUAUUUCUGAACCCGCCUUAUCUCGCUCGCAGGACCGCUAGCGCCUCCAGGGUCAGGGCUUUUGUAAACACCUGUCAUCUUCCUGGGAGCCCACCGCGGGCCUUGCCCAGGGGUUAGCCCUCAGCUGCAUCCAGUCCUGCGUUGCGUCAGACGCCGUUCCCGGGUUGCGGGGCUGAGCGGUUUCUCCGCACCUGGAGGCUGGCGCGCUGGCACCUCGGGAACGCAAAGCCCCAGAGGAAGCAGCCCUGGGAAGGCCGAGGGGUGCGUUGGCUCCUUCCCCGCCCGGCUGCGUUCCGUGCCCGUGAGCUCUGUGUCUUCCCACCUAGUGUCGCCUCUCUCUGCUGUGUCCUCCCUGCCUCCCCUUCUGCUGGGCUGAUUCCCCAGCCAGGGGCCAUUUUCCAUCUCUCCCUGUUGGGAGCUCACCUCUCUGGUCCCUGCAGCUCCCCCAGCCUCCUCCUUCCCUUCCUAGGCUGGCCCUCAGCCCCGAGAAGCCCCCUCUGCCUCACUCCAAGGCUGCAGGGACCUGGCGCCCCUCCUGUCCUCCUCUGGUGGCCUACAUCUAAGUUUUGGGGGUGUCCUGCUCCUUGCAGGAUUGGGUGUGCACUUCCUGGUCUUCAUUUGACUCACCCUGUCUGCAGUUCACCCCACUGAGGACUGUCUUCUGGAAGUUUCUGCCCCCUUGGCAUCCUCAUCAAGUCGCCUUGUUCUUGUGGGGCAGCAUCUCUACCAGCUCCUUUUCCUCAUCUUUAACUGUUAGUGUUCAUCGGCCUCCACACACACACACACCCCUUCCUCCGCCUCCGCCCUAACGGCCCCAUCCCGCCCGGACCCUCCUGCACAGCCCUCCCCACCGGGGGAGCGCCCUCAGGCAGCAGGACCCCCCUCCGCCUCUGCGGACCACUCCGCCGAGGCUGGAGUCUUGCACUGGUGCUCCUCCCACGUCUUGGGAUUCAGCCCACUCCGUCUCAGCGUCUGCCGGGGGGUCUUUCACGGCUGGCCCCCUCCUGCAGCAACAAAGUCCCUGGCAGAUGCCCAAAGGCGAGAUGUUUGUCCGAGCCUCCCGCUCUGCCUACAGGCGUCUUCUCUUCCAGAACGAACCUCUGGUCUGCAUGCCGGAGCCUGGCACAGGGCACCUCAGGGGGCCGGUCUUCACAUACCUCACCGCAGUUGAGACAGAGGCUCUGUCUUCUGGGCUCCCACAGCCCUUCAAAACCUUUUAUUAAAAACACCUGUUGCAUUUU